rnacentral:rRNA from 1 species
CCUACGGGCGGCUGCAGUAACGAAUCUUCCCCUAUGCGCGAAAGCGUGACGGGGCAAUGCCGCGUGUGGGAUGAAGCCCUUCGGGGUGUAAACCACUGUCAGGGUCCGCCAACAACAUGAGGAGACCCAAAGGAAGAGUCGGCUAACUCUGUGCCAGCAGCCGCGGUAAUACAGAGGGCUCGAGCGUUAAUCGGAAUCACUGGGCUUAAAGCGUGCGUAGGCGGACUUGAAGGCACCUUGUGAAAUCCCUCAGCUCAACUGAGGAACUGCUUGGUGAACCACGAGUCUUGAGGUCGGUAGAGGCGGUCGGAACGAUAGGUGGAGCGGUGAAAUGCGUAGAUAUCUAUCGGAACGCCAAUGGUGCAGACAGGCCGCUGGGCCGCACCUGACGCUGAGGCACGAAAGCGUGGGGAUCAAACGGGAUUAGAUACCCCGGUAGUCCACGCCGUAAACGAUGCGCACUUGGUCGAGGGAGUUGAACGCUUUCUCGGUCGUAGAAAAAUUGAUUAGUGCGCCGCCUGGGGAGUACGGUCGCAAGAUUAAAACUCAAAGGAAUUGACGGA